GAAACAGCACAAAACAAAGUUCUGUUGAGCUUCGCUUUAGUCUGACAUUGAGGAGAGUCAUGAGAGGUGUUGCAUAAAUUAGAGCUUUAUAGCAGCAGUGGAAUACUACUCUUUUCAUCAACUCUUCACUUAUUUGGUUAAACGAGACCUGAGUUAUAACAACAACUCUUGGUUCUGAUGCUUAAGUGUGAUGUUUGCACGACCCCCCACUAUGACAUUGUAACGCUGGGAGUUUGACUGCAGCGUUACGUCUGUAAAAUAAUAAAGCAGUAUCCUGGUGCUGGACAGGCCAUUAUUAUUUGGACGGCUUAAUCUCCAGUUGCAAAUAUGCUCCUCUUGAUGACUUAGCUAGGUGGUUGAGGGGUUAUUUGGUUAUCAAAGCUGGGUCAGUCUGGUACGGUGCUUUAACGCCAAAUUUCUUGCACGCAACGAGGAUACUGGUCAAGGUGUCGUACGCUAUAGAGCAGCUUCCAUACUGCGAUCUACUAAUGCUCAUUCUUCGAUCAAUGUGUCU
rnacentral:ncRNA from 1 species